rnacentral:lncRNA from 1 species
AGCGAGCCGCCGGUCGCGACGAGGCCUCUUUGGCCACAGCUACGGCGGCGAUGUCAGCGUGUGCCGUGCGCGUGUGUCCUGCGCCCCCUCCUCCGCAAUCCCCAUCGGACUCGGCCUGCAAUCAGCAGACUCGGCCUGGAAAUCUCCGUUGCUCUGGUGACCGCAGCAUCCUUCAUCCAGAACCUGUUCGUCCCUGACGACGCCCUUAUCUAGGUAAGAACGGGUUGUAAAAACGAGUUGCCUGGUGCCCGCAGCAUCCUCC